UACGGGGGGGGCAAGCGUUGUUCGGAAUUACUGGGCGUAAAGGGCUCGUAGGUGGCCCACUAAGUCAGACGUGAAAUCCCUCGGCUUAACCGGGGAACUGCGGCUGAUACUGGUUGGCUUGAGUGUGGGAGAGGGAUGCGGAAUUCCAGGUGUAGCGGUGAAAUGCGUAGAUAUCUGGAGGAACACCGGUGGCGAAGGCGGCAUCCUGGACCAAGACUGACACUGAGGAGCGAAAGCCAGGGGAGCAAACGGG
rnacentral:rRNA from 1 species